GUGUCAGCCGCCGCGGUAAUACGGAGGGGGCUAGCGUUGUUCGGAAUUACUGGGCGUAAAGCGCACGUAGGCGGACUGGUCAGUUGGGGGUGAAAUCCCGAGGCUCAACCUCGGAACUGCCUUCAAUACUGCCAGUCUUGAGUCCGAGAGAGGUGAGUGGAAUUCCUAGUGUAGAGGUGAAAUUCGUAGAUAUUAGGAAGAACACCAGUGGCGAAGGCGGCUCACUGGCUCGGUACUGACGCUGAGGUGCGAAAGCGUGGGGAGCAAACAGGAUUAGAAACCCGGGUAGUCC
rnacentral:rRNA from 1 species